rnacentral:snRNA from 1 species
GGAUACGAGAGCAGUCUGGCUGUGACAUUGGUUGCCACAUUGAUAUUCAGGCUAUUGGCUGGCUAAUUGGCUAAAUUAGUAUUCCCCUCCCUCCCUUACCAUGCCGUGGGCCUCUCUCCUGAAGCUGAAGCCCCAGUGAAAUAUGAUAGCUGGAAGUUCUUUUUCAGUCAUAGUCCUAUCCUUUAUUAGAACCUCCAACUUAACUCUACUUGUGAAAACAGCUAAGGAAUGUUGUAUAUGUUCAUUUUUGCCCUUGUUUGUAAACAUAAGGAAGAAA